rnacentral:misc_RNA from 1 species
GCGAGAGCUUAAAAAUUAUGCAAGAAACAGGUAAUAAGAGGAAGCAGAUAGACCAAGUCGUUCAAUACUUGGAGGAGAGACUAAGGGAGUUGGAUGAAGAAAAGGAAGAACUGAGAAAAUAUCAGCAGCUUGACAAACAACGAAGGUCGCUAGAGUAUAGCAUAUUUGACAAAGAACUAAAUGAUGCUAGGCAAAAAUUAGGAGAGAU